rnacentral:sRNA from 1 species
GGGCGGCCGCGGAGGAGGGGGCGACCACAAGAUGGCGGACCUCUCGCUGCUCCAGGAGGACCUGCAGGAGGACGCAGACGGAUCCCUGGACUUUGUCUCACAAGAUGAAAUGUUGACGCCCCUGGGGAGAUUGGACAAGUAUGCUGCAAGUGAGAACGUAUUUAACAGAACCAACUGUGAGAGCGGAGCUGAUGGAACAGGUGCCUCACAUCGCACUGUUUUGUCAAGAAAACCGGCCUUCAAUACCAUACGCUUUUUCAAAAUUCUUACUACCUAUUGUGGUUAGAUAUCUUGCAGAUCAGAAUAAUCAGGUGAGGAAAACAAGUCAGGCAGCUUUGCUUGCUCUUUUGGAGCAGGAGCUCAUUGAACGAUUUGAUGUGGAGACCAAAGUGUGCCCUGUCCUCAUAGAGCUGACCGCCCCAGAUAGCAAUGAUGAUGUGAAAACAGAAGCUGUGGCUGUAAGUCAAA